CCCGCUGAACUUAAGCAUAUCAAUAAGCGGAGGAAAAGAAACUAACAAGGAUUCCCCUAGUAACUGCGAGUGAAGCGGGAAAAGCUCAAAUUUGAAAUCUGGUGGUCUUUGGCCAUCCGAGUUGUAAUUUAGAGAAGCGUCUUCCGCGCUGGACCGUGCACAAGUCUCCUGGAACGGAGCGUCGUAGAGGGUGAGAAUCCCGUCUUUGGCACGGACACACCAGGGCUUUUGCGAUGCGCUCUCGAAGAGUCGAGUUGUUUGGGAAUGCAGCUCAAAAUGGGUGGUGAACUCCAUCUAAAGCUAAAUAUUGGCGAGAGACCGAUAGCGAACAAGUACCGUGAGGGAAAGAUGAAAAGCACUUUGGAAAGAGAGUGAAACAGUACGUGAAAUUGUUGAAAGGGAAACGCUUGAAGUCAGUCGCGUCGUCCGAGACUCAGCCUCGCCUCGGCUUGGCGUACUUCUCGGCCCGACGGGUCAGCAUCAAUUUCGCCUCUCGGAUAAUGGCGAGGGAAAAGUGACACCUUUACGGUGUGUUAUAGCCCUCGAUUCGCAUACGGCGAUUGGGAUUGAGGAACUCAGCGCGCCUUUAUGGUCGGGGUAGCAACCCACGUAACGCGCUCAGGAUGCUGGCAUAAUGGCUUUAAGCGACCCGUCUUGAAACACGG
rnacentral:rRNA from 1 species